UACGUAGGGUGCAAGCGUUAUCCGGAAUUAUUGGGCGUAAAGAGCUCGUAGGCGGUUUGUCGCGUCUGCUGUGAAAACUGGAGGCUCAACCUCCAGCCUGCAGUGGGUACGGGCAGACUAGAGUGCGGUAGGGGGAGAUUGGAAUUCCUGGUGUAGCGGUGGAAUGCGCAGAUAUCAGGAGGAACACCGAUGGCGAAGGCAGAUCUCUGGGCCGUAACUGACGCUGAGGAGCGAAAGCGUGGGGAGCGAACAGG
rnacentral:rRNA from 1 species